GGUCAGCUGACACAUCCCUGCCAAUCUCCGGCAGACCCUCCCUCCCAGACCCUCCCACCUCCUGGACAGCAUCCAUGUUGAAGCUGCCUUCAACAUGGAUGCUGUCCAGGAAGUAGGAGGGUCUGGGAGGGAGGGUCUGCCGGAGAUUGGCAGGGAUCGCGACUUCA